rnacentral:tRNA from 1 species
GCUAGCGUAGCUUAACACAAAGCAUGACACUGAAGAUGUUAAGAUGGGUCCUAAAGAAACUCCGCAUGCA